CAGCACCUCAAGUGGUCAGGAUGAUUAUUGGGCCUAAAGCAUCCGUAGCCUGCUUUGUUAGUUUUCGGUUAAAUCCAUAUGCUCAACGUAUGGGCUGCCGGGAAUACUGCAAAGCUAGGGAGUGGGAGAGGUAGACGGUACUCGGUAGGAAGGGGUAAAAUCCUUUGAUCUAUUGAUGACCACCUGUGGCGAAGGCAGUCUACCAGAACACGUCCGACGGUGAGGGAUGAAAGCUGGGGGAGCAAGCCGGAUUAGAUACCCGAGUAGUCC
rnacentral:rRNA from 1 species